rnacentral:rRNA from 1 species
AUUACAUGAGAGUUUGAUCCUGGCUCAGGACGAACGCUGGCGGCGUGCCUAAUACAUGCAAGUCGAACGGUCUUUUCUAUGGAAGCUUGCUUCCACUGAGAAGAUAGUGGCGAACGGGUGAGUAACACGUGGGU